GGCCGCGGCCCAGCCCCGGGCGGGGGCGGGGGCCGGGGCCGGGCUUGGGGCCCCGCGUAGCCGCGCGUCCGGAAGCGCCCGGGACUCCGCAGUCCCCGCCUCGGGAGCCUCCGGUCUCCAGUCACCAGUCUGCAGCCUCCCGCAGCCGUCAUGCCGAAACAUGAGUUCUCUGUGGACAUGACCUGUGAGGGCUGUUCUAAUGCAGUCACCCGAGUCCUCAACAAGCUGGGUGACCAUGGAGAGUCCCAGGGGCGCUGCUGGCAGGGAGAGAGAAGAAGCAAAGCGCAGAGGUUAUCUGCUUUCAGGAUCUCAGAGUUUGGGAACUGGGUGCCUGCAUCAUGUGGAGCACUUUGGAGAGGGCAGCACCAAGUGGGGGUCCAGUUUGACAUCGACCUGCCCAACAAGAAAGUGCGCAUCGAUUCAGAGCAUAGUGUGGAAACGCUGCUGGAGACACUGAAGAAAACGGGGAAGGCCACCACCUACCUUGGGACCAAGUAGCAGGAAGCUCCACCCUCUGGCCAGCAGCAGGAUGCAGAGGGGACAGAGAAGGAAAACUGAGGCACGGAAAAGAUUAAGUGACUUCACACGGCUAGCGUCUGUGAUGGGAACUCAAGUCUUUCUGAUUCCAGAUCCUGUACUUUAUCCACUGGGCCACCACGUAGCUGCCUCAUAAGCUUGUAAAAAGUAUAAGGAGCCCGAAUGACAGGCUCCCCAGGAUCCGUCCGCUCCCAUUCUGGCCAGAAAUGGGAAGGAGGGGAGACCUGGGAGUGGAAAGGAAAGAGAGGAAAGAGCGCAUCAGUGACUGGGAGCCCGCAGUGUUCCGGGAGAGCCCUUCGGCUCACUGUCUCUCUUUCUUUGCCACCCUUUAAUAAAAUGGAGCUGGUUUUUGCUGGAAAA